rnacentral:tRNA from 1 species
UGCGAAGUAGAGCAGUGGUAGCUUGUCGGGCUCAUAACCCGAAGGUCGUCGGUUCAAAUCCGUCCUUCGCAACCA